UACGAGGGGGGCAAAUGUUGUUCGGAAUCACUGGGCGUAAAGGGCGCGUAGGCGGGUUUUUAAGUUAGGUGUUUAAUACCGGGGCCCAACCCCGGACCGGCACUUAAAACUGGGAAUCUUGAAUAGUGGAGAGGUCAGUGGAAUUGGGGGUGUAGCGGUGGAAUGCGUAGAGAUCCGCAAGAACACCAGUGGCGAAGGCGGCUGACUGGACACAUAUUGACGCUGAGGCUCGAAAGCAUGGGGAGCAAACAGG
rnacentral:rRNA from 1 species